GGAACUUCAAUUGAGAAAAUACCUCCGACUAGACUGCUUGUAAACAAGUCUUUGAACUGGUUCCUGUUCAUUGGAAGCAUAGCUGGAGAGCUCACUUCUGUCUGGGCAGGCAGCAAGCUCACUCCAGACAUGAAGAGUUUUAAUGAUUGGAGAUAAGCCCACAGCUGCCGUCAAUCAGGAAUCCAUCCUCUCAGGGAAGCCGGAGGAAGAACACAAAGGGAGGAUAGAUAGCUGCUGAGUUCACUGUUCCAAUGGCGCCACUUCAACUCCUGACAGAAGAGCAUGCAGGGCCAUGGUUUGUGGUGGAGAGAUGUGGCAGAACUGAAAAAGCUCAGCUCCAUGGAAGGACAGCAUAUAGGAAUAAGAAGGGGAGGGCGUAAUGGAAUGGAGG
rnacentral:lncRNA from 1 species